rnacentral:rRNA from 1 species
UACGGAGGGUGCAAGCGUUAUCCGGAUUUCCUGGGUUUAAAGGGUGUGUAGGCGGACUUUUAAGUCAGCGGUGAAAUCUCCGGGCUCAACCCGGAAACUGCCAUUGAUACUAUUGGUCUUGAAUGUUGUUGAGGUGGGCGGAACGGGUCAUGUAGCGGUGAAAUGCAUAGAUAUGACCCGGAACACCGAUUGCGAAGGCAGCCCACUAAGCAAUGAUUGACGCUGAGGCACGAAAGCGUGGGGAUCAAACAGG